GUUACCUCACAGGAGCACUCUUGCUCAGGGUGGCUGUGCCACGUUACCUCACAGGGGCUGUCUUACUCAGGGCAGCUGUGCCAUGUUACUUCCCAGGGGCUCUCUCAGUCAGGGCAGCUGUGCCAUGCUACCUCAGAGUGGCUGUCCCAGGAGGGCUGUGGCCCUUUUCUGUUGGCUGACCAAUUUUCUGCCUCCAUCUUCGUUAUGUGCUGUCAAUGUUCAUCCUGAGGUGCACCACUUGUUCAUUCAGUCAUCCAAAGCCAAGACACACCGAAACCAGGAAGAUGUCCUUCUGGGUGACCGCUCUCCUUUUGUGAGGCUCACGAAUUCUACUCUUCCACUUUUGCGAGGUCCUUCUGUACUCCUGGAGUGAAGCACAUUGGAAGAAGAGCAGCUUGAGGAAGUCUGUGGAAUUCACUGCCAUCGAUAUAUCCUUGAGGCCACGAGCUUGUUGUUGUUAAUCUGUGUUGAGUGUGUAAUUGAGAUCCUAAGAGGGAGAUUAGCAGGAACCCCUUUGGGAAGACAUCUGACCUACACAAGGAAGCUAAUACAUAAAUAGCCCAAACCAUUGAGGCUAACUGCACCAUUUACCUGGAUGGUACCAUCCCUUCAUCAAGAGCCUCUCAGCGCCCCAGAGCUGAUCACCAUCUCUGUCAUUAGCCCCAGCCUCGCUUAGCUCUGCCGCUGUCAUUUGUGUCUGGAUGUGGAAACGUUUCCCUGGACGCUUGAUUCAUCCGUCAUUUAGAUAAUUGGAAAAAGCAGUUUUCAGGAGCAGCGUUCUACUGGGAAGCAGCCUGUUUCAAUCCAGAUGAACGUGAUGGCCAGCCUAUCAAAGCUGUUUUUCAGAUUCACUCACGUGGCUUUGCAGAACCUUCUGGCAUCUGCUAGGAGGAAACUCUGAUUAACCCAACAUUAUUCUUAAACACCUAUUGCUUCUGCAGCUGCUGCCCUGCUACUGUUAUCUAAGGCGGCUGGGCGUAAAUAUUCUCCUAACUGCUUGGCGUGAUCCUUUGGGACAGAAGGCCCUGCGUGAAUGGAAGAUAUUAUUAAUUAUCAGCAGCUCUUGUCCUAAUAAAGGGCCAGGGUUUUUCGACGCACGGGGCUUUGAUUCAACAAUCAUCUUUCAAGCAGCCGGCUUGCAGCCUCACCUUAAACUCUCAGCACAGCAAACUCUUUGCCAAAUAUAACCCGACUGCUAGGCCAUGAUGGAUAUAUAUGUAUAUCCCCUUCCCUGCCUCAGUGAUCAAACGGCAAAGCAAAUGGCUCCUAUGACAGAUGUGAGAUCUUGGAAGCGUGGAAACAUCGAAAGACUUAUUCUCCUGGGAUGUGCCAGACACCAUAGGCGCAGGAAAUAUUAAUGGACCUUUCUCCAUCAGUAAGUGUGGUGUGUAUCUUUGUGGUUUUCUGGCUUGCUGGGUCGGUUUCCUGUGGCAUCUAGAAUUAUUAAUGAAAAGUCACCCAGUGCCAGUUAUGCAGAUAUCAGCCUUUCCUGGGGAGAGGGGCAUUGAUGGGUUUUAUCUGUUUCGGGGGGCUGGCCUCCAAACUAUUACCACCCCCCCCCCAAAAAAAAAGAAAAAGAAAAGUGUCAGCAUGAACUAAGUAGGUCCCAAGGAGGCAAUAUCUUGCUGGUAGGCAGAAAAACCUGCAAGGGUCUCCAAGUGGAAGAUGGCGCAACAGCUGGUAAGCCUGGCAUCCGUGUAGCCUGCUUAUUAUUUUAUCAUACAUUUUUUUCUCUGUAAAUGUACUGUGCUCUGUGUAAACUGGCUGGUCACUGGUUGAGAGGAGAGAGAGAGAGAGAGGGAAAAAAAACACACACGCGAACGAACAGCAGGCGCUGGACUAAAGCGUGUGAACUCCCCUACAGGUACUUCGUUCCCUCCUCCUCUGCCCCCAAAUGGAUUUGACCAGCCCUGCCAGCCUCUUGUGUAAAAUCAGGGCUUCCCAUAGACCACUUCAUGGAGAUCGCUUCCCUGUUGUGAGGCGCUUGGAUGGUGGGUUCUUGAGCGGUGAGAAUUACACCUCCACUGUGGCCUCUCAGAUACUCUGCACAAAGCUUAUUUUACCUGGGCUUUGCAUACAGACUUGAGGAGACUGUGUUUGUUUUCAUAGCUUCAUGCAGUUUAAGGACACAAGGGAUCAUUCACUUCUCUAGUCUGACUCCUGUAUGUCACGGGCCAUUACAUUUAUUUCACCCAGAUACCGCUAUAUUCCGUGUAACGGCUUUAGUUAGACUAAAGUAUUUCAGUCCUUGGGAGACUGCACUGUAGCGUGUAGGGAACCAGGUGUCCGGUUUUCGACCGGAACACCCGGUCGGAAAGGGAUCCUCGUGGCUCCAGUCAGCACCGCUGACCAGGCCGUUGACUGUCCGGUUGGCAGCACUGUGCAGUGGGGUUGGCAGGCUUCCUGCUAGCUUUCAUGGUGCGCGGAUCCCGGAAAGCAGUCGACAUGUCUCCACUCCGGCUCCUAUGUGUAAGAGCAGCCAGGCAGCUCUGCCCGCUGGGCCCCCCACCCCCGUACCAAGUGCCUCCCCCACAGCUCCUAUUGGCUGGGCCGCAGCCCU